AGAGUUUGAUCCUGGCUCAGAACGAACGCUGGCGGCAGGCUUAACACAUGCAAGUCGAGCGCGUGGCAACACGAGCGGCAGACGGGUGAGUAACGCGUGGGAAUCUACCGGACCCUACGGAAUAACGCAUGGAAACGUGUGCUAAUACCGUAUACGCCCUACGGGGGAAAGAUUUAUCGGGGUUUGAUGAGCCCGCGUUGGAUUAGCUAGUUGGUGGGGUAAAGGCCUACCAAGGCGACGAUCCAUAGCUGGUCUGAGAGGAUGAUCAGCCACAUUGGGACUGAGACACGGCCCAAACUCCUACGGGAGGCAGCAGUGGGGAAUAUUGGACAAUGGGCGCAAGCCUGAUCCAGCCAUGCCGCGUGAGUGAUGAAGGCCCUAGGGUUGUAAAGCUCUUUCACCGGAGAAGAUAAUGACGGUAUCCGGAGAAGAAGCCCCGGCUAACUUCGUGCCAGCAGCCGCGGUAAUACGAAGGGGGCUAGCGUUGUUCGGAAUUACUGGGCGUAAAGCGCACGUAGGCGGACAUUUAAGUCAGGGGUGAAAUCCCGGAGCUCAACUCCGGAACUGCCUUUGAUACUGGGUGUCUUGAGUGUGGAAGAGGUGAGUGGAAUUCCGAGUGUAGAGGUGAAAUUCGUAGAUAUUCGGAGGAACACCAGUGGCGAAGGCGGCUCACUGGUCCAUUACUGACGCUGAGGUGCGAAAGCGUGGGGAGCAAACAGGAUUAGAUACCCCGGUAGUCC
rnacentral:rRNA from 1 species